UGGCGCCCGGUGCCGGUGCCCGGGCUGUGGGCAUCGAGUCCUGGGGGUAAUAAAGAGGGUUGGUGGUAGAGAGGAGGCUGUGGUAGGACUUCACGGCUCCGUCGCUCUUAAGGGGCUGGCUUUGGUGCUUUUUCCCCUUCACAACCAGGAGGGAGGCCUUCCCCGCUGACUGGGGCGGCAACCUGCGGUGCCCUGCCGGGUUCCCCUCCUCUCGAUAAAAGAACGAAAUAGUGGAUGUGUGGUGAUGGAAGUGGAUGGUGCCAAAACAGCCUGAUUUAAAGCUAUAAAGUUGUUUUCCUGAUCUUCAAAACUGUGGGGCUACCACUCUGAGAAAUCAUUUCAGGGGUAACAUUUAAGGUUACAGCUUGCUUCUGCAUAGGGAAGUACAGUAGAAAUAAAAAGCUCCAGCAGCCCUCUGUAUUUGUGUUUAGUCUGCUGGCAUGGCAGACAGUUGAUAUAUUAUCAAAAGGAACAUUCCUAGAAAUACAAGAGAAGCAAAAAACUGUUUUCAAACUUCUAUUGGAAGGUGGAGUAAUUUACUGCUGUAUGAUGGCCAUCAGCUCAUUGAUGAAGCUAGAAGUAAGAACUAUGAAGACUUCAAAAAAGAUAACUUAGUAGUGUUACUUCCCUGACACCAUGAACUGAAAAGGAACAACUCUUUACAGUGAAGAAGGAGCAAAUGUGCAGCCUUGUGAGCCCUUUCAUGGAGUGAUACGAGAUACAUCAGUACCAUGUUAUCAGCGAAGGCUGCUGAGAAUGUACAGGGUUGCCAGUGUCUGUUCUGGACGAUACUCACUGUAUUUAAUUACCGCUGUAAGUUGUGCCCUGGUGCACACACCACACCCUUAUCACUGUCCUUUCCUGAGAAUUGCCUAUACUAUUAUGAAACAAAAUAAAAAAGGUUUAAUAUGAUGAAA